CUGGAGCAGAAAGGCCCAGGAGGCUUUCCCAGAGCAAUACUGCCAUCAAGAGGAAGGAGUCUGUCAAAACCCUGAAUUUCAUGGAUGCUGGAGGUUCACUUCCAAUGAGUGACUACAAGACAGUGGGACAUCGUGAGGAAACAGGAGAGAAAGCACAUGGCAUAAAGAAAAAUUAGGUCAUGUGAAAUUUCAGAUUUGAAAAGAUGCUUGAUAAGUAAGGAUAAAGACCAAGAUAGAUAGCUGAACUGACUGAUAGUAUGGUUUGCCUGUGUGUAC